UACGUAGGGGGCAAGCGUUGUCCGGAAUCACUGGGCGUAAAGGGUGCGUAGGCGGUCGGGUAAGUCUGAUGUGAAAUCUCACAGCUUAACUGUGAAACUGCAUUGGAUACUAUCCGGCUCGAGGAAUGGAGGGGAGACUGGAAUACUUGGUGUAGCAGUGAAAUGCGUAGAUAUCAAGUGGAACACCAGUGGCGAAGGCGAGUCUCUGGACAUUUCCUGACGCUGAGGCACGAAAGCCAGGGGAGCAAACGGG
rnacentral:rRNA from 1 species